rnacentral:rRNA from 1 species
UCAUUCUAGAAACACUUUCCAGUACCUCUACUUUGUUACGACUUAUUCCAACUUUUAAAUGAAAGCGACGGGCAAUAUGUACAUAUUCUAAUUUUUAAUCAUUUUAUUAUAUUAAAUAAAAUUACAUUUAAAUCCACCUUCAUAUUUAUAUUACAAAAAAAAAUCCAUUUAAAUAAAUUUAUUGUAAUCCAUCAUAUUCUUAAUUAUAUUCUACAUCUUGAUCUGAAUUAAUUUCUAUUUUUAAAUUUUAAAUAUUAUUUUUAUUUAAAAAUAUUUUUUUAACAACGAUAUAUAAAAUUUUAAAUUAAGUAAAUUUAAUCGUGGAUUAUCAAUUAUUAGACAGAUUCCUCUAAAUGAACUAAAAUACCGCCAAAUUACUUAAGUUUCAAUAAAUUAUUAUUUACUAUUUUAGUAUUUAUAAAUUAAAUUUUA